rnacentral:rRNA from 1 species
GAUGAACGCUAGCUACAGGCUUAACACAUGCAAGUCGAGGGACCGGCGCACGGGUGAGUAACACGUAUCCAACCUGCCCUUUACUCGGAGAUAGCCUUUCGAAAGAAAGAAUAAUACCCGAUAUAAAGGAUGGGGAUGCGUUCCAUUAGGUUGUUGGUGAGGUAACGGCCAACCAAGCAUUCGCUGGAUAGGGGUUCUGAGAGGAAGGGCCCCCACAUUGGAACGGAGACACGGCCCAAACUCGUAGCGGAGGCAGCAGUGAGGAAUAUUGGUAAAAGGGCGUGAGCCUGAACCAGCCAAGUAGCGUGAAGGAUGAAGGCUUAUGGGUCGUAAACUUCUGUUAUAUAAGAAUAUGUAUUAUAUGAAUAAGGAUCGGCUAACUCCGUGCCAGCAGCCGCGGUAAUAC